GAGUUUGAUCAUGGCUCAGAACGAACGCUGGCGGCAGGCCUAAUACAUGCAAGUCGAGCGGACCUUUCGGGGUCAGCGGCGGACGGGUGAGUAACGCGUGGGAACAUGCCUUUCGGUGCGGAAUAACCGUUGGAAACGGCGGCUAAUGCUGCAUACGCCCUGAGUGGGGAAAGAUUUAUCGCCGAGGGAUUGGCCCGCGUUGGAUUAGGUAGUUGGUGGGGUAAAGGCCUACCAAGCCGACGAUCCAUAGCUGGUCUGAGAGGAUGAUCAGCCACACUGGGACUGAGACACGGCCCAGACUCCUACGGGAGGCAGCAGUAGGGAAUAUUGGACAAUGGGGGAAACCCUGAUCCAGCCAUGCCGCGUGAGUGAAGAAGGCCUUAGGGUUGUAAAGCUCUUUCACUGGCGAGGAUGAUGACGGUAGCCAGAGAAGAAGCCCCGGCAAACUUCGUGCCAGCAGCCGCGGUAAUACGAAGGGGGCGAGCGUUGUUCGGAAUUACUGGGCGUAAAGGGCGCGUAGGCGGCGCGUUGCGUCAGAGGUGAAAGCCCCGGGCUCAACCUGAGAACGGCCUUUGAUACGGGCGUGCUAGAAUCCAAGAGAGGGUGGUGGAAUUCCCAGUGUAGAGGUGAAAUUCGUAGAUAUUGGGAAGAACACCGGUGGC
rnacentral:rRNA from 1 species